rnacentral:rRNA from 1 species
UGAGGAAUAUUGCUCAAUGGGCGCAAGCCUGAUCCAGCCAUGCCGCGUGUGUGAAGAAGGCCUUCGGGUUGUAAAGCACUUUUGUUGGGGAAGAAAAGCCGUCGGUUAAUACCCGGUGGUGAUGACGGUACCUGCAGAAAAAGCACCGGCUAACUUCGUGCCAGCAGCCGCGGUAAUACGGAGGGAGCUAGCGUUGUUCGGAAUUACUGGGCGUAAAGCGCACGUAGGCGGAUCUUUAAGUCAGAGGGG